AACUGCGAAUGGCUCAUUAAAUCAGUUAUGAUCUACGUGACAAAUUCUUUACUACUUGGAUAACCGUGGUAAUUCUAGAGCUAAUACAUGCAAAAAAGCCCUGACUUACGAAGGGGUGCACUUAUUAGAUAAAACCAACGCGGGAUAAAACCUGUUUCUUGGUGAAUCAUAAUAAUUAAGCGGAUCGCAUGGCCUUGUGCUGGCGACGGUCCACUCGAUUUUCUGCCCUAUCAUGGUUGAGAUUGUAAGAUAGAGGCUUACAAUGCCUACAACGGGUAACGGGGAAUUAGGGUUCGAUUCCGGAGAGGGAGCCUGAGAAACGGCUACCACAUCCAAGGAAGGCAGCAGGCGCGCAAAUUACCCAAUCCCGACACGGGGAGGUAGUGACAAUACAUAACAAUGCAGGGCCUUUAAGGUCUUGCAAUUGGAAUGAGUACAAUUUAAAUCCCUUAACGAGGAUCAAUUGGAGGGCAAGUCUGGUGCCAGCAGCCGCGGUAAUUCCAGCUCCAAUAGCGUAUAUUAAAGUUGUUGCAGUUAAAACGUCCGUAGUCAAACUUUAGUCUUAUCGACGUGAUGGCCUGGUCUUCAUUGACCAAGCUCAUUAUGAUCGGAGACUCCAUGUUCAUUGAUCUCUAGCUUUUUUGGUUAGGGCUUUUUUUUGAACAAUUACCAUGAGCAAAUCAGAGUGUUUAAAGCAGGCUUUUAAGCUUGAAUGUGUUAGCAUGGAAUAAUGAAAUAUGACUUUAGUCCUAUUUUCGUUGGUUUAGGUACUUCAGUAAUGAUGAAUAGAAACGGUUAGGGGCAUUUGUAUUUGGUCGCUAGAGGUGAAAUUCUUGGAUUGACCGAAGACAAACUACUGCGAAAGCAUUUGACCCGGGACGUUUUCAUUGAUCAAGGUCUAAAGUUAAGGGAUCGAAGACGAUUAGAUACCGUCGUAGUCUUAACCACAAACUAUGCCGACUAGAGAUUGGGCGUGUUUAUUAUGACUCGCUCAGCAUCUUAGCGAA
rnacentral:rRNA from 1 species